UACGUAGGGGGCUAGCGUUGUCCGGAAUCAUUGGGCGUAAAGAGCGUGUAGGCGGUCCGGUAAGUCCGCUGUGAAAGUCGGGGGCUCAACCCUCGAAUGCCGGUGGAUACUGUCGGGCUAGAGUCCGGAAGAGGCGAGUGGAAUUCCUGGUGUAGCGGUGGAAUGCGCAGAUAUCAGGAGGAACACCGAUAGCGAAGGCAGCUCGCUGGGACGGUACUGACGCUGAGGCGCGAAAGCGUGGGGAGCGAACAGG
rnacentral:rRNA from 1 species